GCUGAAUGGAGAUCAUUUUGCCAAAAAUAGUUUUUAUGAGACCAAACAUUGUUCUAACUGCCUAGACAGUACAUAAAGAACAUGUCCAUUGCUGAGAUACACUCUUCUGGGCUUAAAGCAGGCUACAGCCCAUAAAUACCUUUUUGGAAGGAAACAGGAGUUCUUCUUGAAUUCAAGAUGACUGUUUUCUUGUUUGUUUUUAAAGGCAGUUGGGGGUUCAUUUUACAUGUGAGUUACUGUGAAUAUGUGAAAUAUUUCUAAGUGGGGCUGUCAUUCCCUCUAGGAAAUAUGCCCUCCUCUUUCAGUUCUGCCCUACUCUCUUCUUCUCCCCACCCCAAACCACUGGGCUCUUAUCAGCAACUUAAACAACAGAGUGCGACUGUGCUCUUCUGAACUCUUUAAUUAAAUGGUGUUAUUGACAUGAAAAUAAUUGCAACUUCGUUCAUGGCGCUCCACGCACAGGCAAACCCUGGCCUAAGACAUUAUAGCCCAGACAGGAAAGAAGUGAAGAUAGUUACUUGGUCAAAACGGUAGGAAAACUAAUUGUUCAUACCUCUGUCAGAAUCUUUGAAAGCAAUAACUUGCUUAUAAAAUCCUCAUCCAAAAUGGAAAUAAUGUGAAGAAAUGCUCAUGUGUUUAAAUAUAAAGAACGUUAUUAUCAGAGCAGGGAAUUAUAGGCCAUGUGCAAAUUACUACGUAUGUUGUUGUUGAAACAAGGUAUCAUUGGCCUCUGUUCUUCACUUUCAUGUUUAUAACAGGAUUCUGCCUUCAGAAGCACAUGGAUUUCCUCAUUCAUUCGGGAGUGGAGUGUAACGGCCCCCCGUGCCCUGGUGCCACCUGGCAGUGCCCUGGUGCCACCUGGCAGCGCGGAAGCAGCGGGGGCACGUGUCAGCAGCAGUCCCCUCUGCCAGCCGCCUGUGGGUGCGUGAUCAUUCAAUUUUAAAAGACUUUUUUUAUCGGACAAUACGCGAGCAGGAAUUUGAAGUACAUUAUUCUGUUGCUUUGGCAACACCAACUGCUAGAACUUUGCAAGGCUUCACCUAAGAUGUCUGAAGACUAAAGUUACUACGGUUUUUUGUUCGUACGCGGAUAAAGCUUAAUUUCAUGGAGUUGUACAUUCUCGGGCACACUUGUUGCCUUUUCUCUUAACUUGGGGGGAGACAGUCAUGGUUCCAGUUCUGUAAAGCUUGCAAUACUGUUACUUUAACAGAGGAAGCGUAUGCAGCAGUCUGUUAGAGAGUGCAUUUAACUAUGGACCGCAGGAGCAGACAGAGUUUGUCUGUGUAGCAACAGCUCCCCCAACCAAUCAGCAGAGAUGUUAGAGUGGAAGCAUUUUUAACACUUCGUCUCCUUUAAUUUUUAACAUGUUCUUUUCUGAUCCCCCUCCUCCACUGCAGGCUUAGGGUGACGUCCUGAAGCUUUCCCUCUCUUUUGUGCAAUAGAAGUUGGGUGUUAGAAGCAAUUACCAAGUCAAACUAAGCCCUUUUUAAAAUAUUUUAGUUUUGACCCGUAUCUGCCAGGAAAAGGUUCCGGUAUGCUGUUUUGUUCUGUCUUUCCAUAAAUUUCUAUGCUGUGCCAGCUGUUCGGUUUAACUAAGAUGUCCGAAUUUCUGUGUACGCAUAUUUCAAGAGGGCUUAGGAGAUAAUGAACACAUUUUAUGAGGAUUUACUGCUUUUUCCCCAACUUCCAUUUUAAUCUUCCAAUUAAAAGGACUACAGUAAAAGGAGUACUGGAAAGCUGCUGCAUACAACAGAACAGAACUAAUACCGUAUCCCGUGCUGCUGAAUCACAAGCAGUUAACACUGGCGUUAGUGGGUUUCCUCUAAUGAGGCAGAGGGAGGUGGGUAGCUAAUGCGGCUAAUACUGGCGAGUGCUCAUCCAUCCUAAGGAAGUGGAAGACAUGAAGUAAUGCAGGUUAGAAAAGCUAGUAUGGAAGAAAUGAAUUUUAUUCCCGCCUUCCAGGAAUUUAUGCCAGCUGACUGCACUGGAUAAUAGAAAAAAAGGAUCUCUGACCCUCCUCAGUCUCUUUGUUUUGGAACAGAGGAAAAGUGGUCUUUUACUUAAAUAAAUAAACUUUUUGAUCAC
rnacentral:lncRNA from 1 species